rnacentral:rRNA from 1 species
AUGCCCAAAUUCCAUCCAUACCCUCUCUUUCUUCUUCCCUUCUAUCUAUUUGUAUCUUUCUCUUUUUGGUUAAGAGAGAAGAGUAGGAGAGGCAGUCCAGCAGGUCCUGGCUGUUCUCCUUUCCAUUGGGCCGGCCUUCCUAGACCUAGCCUAGCCGGCCACUUAGGCCCAUCGGCCCACCUAACUCCUCUAACCCUAGCCCAACCCCCACUCUCCCUCGUCUCCUCCUCUAGCGCCGCCAGUAGCCCCACGACCGAACCUGCCUCUCCCCUCGAUCCUCACUCGCGCGCGCCCCUCUCUUCCAUCGCCCUCGCUGCCUCCAUCCUCGCGUCGCCUCUCUCCCACGUCUUCUUCUCGCUCUCCCUCUCGAUCUCUCCAGGUCGCCGCCUCCGCACACACGCCCGACCCCGAACGCCUCCUCCUUGCUGCCUCGCAUGUCGCGUGCAGGAGCUCCGCCGCCGCGACUUCUGGCUCUGGCCUCCGCCGGCCGCUCCUUCCCGGCCUCGGCCUCGUCCCCGACUACCCAGGUCGGAGUCCCCACCACUCGCCUUGGACAGGAGGUCCCUCACGGACCCGUGCUUCUGCCCGCCGCCAUCUCCUUCCUGGAGCCCCUCGUCGUCUUCCGCGCCAAGUUCCGAUGCCAGUGCAGCCAAUCACGGUGCCCUGCCUCUCAUCUUCGUUGUUGUCCAGAGCCAUGGAGAGGAGGACAACUCAGGCGCCGACCCCGCCUCCUCUGCUCGCUUGUUGCUCGGUCCUCCUCCGGCAAGAACCCAGCCGCCGCGCCCUGCUGUAGCGCCACCGUCCUCGACCUCACCGUCUUCCUGGCCUCCUCGCGUCCCCUGGCUGUCUCUCUCUGCAGCGAACAGCUGCAGCUCAGUGCCUCGGCACCCCUGCUUCCCCCUCGCCGCCGGCAGCAGCAGCAGCUGCUGUACCCUUUCGACGCGCCCGGACCCUGCUUCUCCUCCGUGCGCCAUGGCCUUGACCCCCUGCUCCACCUCGACGACCUGCCAAGCACCGGUGACCGAAGACCCAAGUUCUCUUCAGAUCGUAAAGAGCGGCAAGUCCAACUAG